GUUACUAAAAUAAGUAACAAUUUGACACCAAUUAAUUAAACCAGUCCCAACGUGACUAAAGUACAUCCUCUGCCCUCUUCUCUGUUAAUGUCUUCACAAUCUCAUCUCCUGACCGUAUUUACUAUAAGCUAAAGGAGAGUAUUUGUACACUAUAACUGACUCUCGUUAGUACAGGAACAGAGGUCACUGCGUCAGACAGACCCACCUUGAGCUACCUUUGAAGGACUUUAAACUGUUUAUUAUAAACAAUUGAAUAUUUAAAGCUUAUAUGUACUAGUACAUUAAGAGUUGAGUCAAAAUAUAAUCAGGCUAA